rnacentral:rRNA from 1 species
GAUGAACGCUGGCGGCGUGCCUAAUACAUGCAAGUCGAACGAGCGGCGGACGGGUGAGUAAUGUCUGGGAAACUGCCUGAUGGAGGGGGAUAACUACUGGAAACGGUAGCUAAUACCGCAUACCAUCAGAUGUGCCCAGAUGGGAUUAGCUAGUAGGUGGGGUAAUGGCUCACCUAGGCGACGAUCCCUAGCUGGUCUGAGAGGAUGACCAGCCACACUGGAACGGAGACACGGCCCAGACUCCUACGGGAGGCAGCAGUGGGGAAUAUUGGACAAUGGGCGAAAGUCUGAUACAGCCAUGCCGCGUGUGUGAAGAAGGCCUUCGGGUUGUAAAGCACUUUCAGCGAGGAGGCGUUACCCGCAGAAGAAGCACCGGCUAACUCCGUGCCAGCAGCCGCGGUAAUUC